UCUCUCUCUCUCUGUAACGCGUAAAAAUGGCGACCUCGAUUCUGCCUCUCCUCCUUUUCUCUCUCCUUGCGGUCACCGCCUCCGCCCGGCCCUGCAAAACUCUCUUCUAUUUCGCAACAACCACCAGCUAUCACCCUUACUCCCGUUCCCAGAACCCUAACCCUAACGAGGGCAAUUUCCUCUUCCAAAAACCCUCUUCCUUGUCUUCGCCUCGUUAUCUCACUCUCAUCUUCACCACCACCACUACCACCUCUCGAUUCCCCCACCAUCAUCGUCCCGUCAAUUACAACGAUCGCCCUGGCGAUCUUGAACACGAUAUGAUUCCAUACAAGGGGCCCGUUAAAUUGUAUUCCUCAGUCUCGAGCUCGAUUAGGGAUCGCACCAAGGACAUCAUGAGUGUGGUUGGGGCGCUGCUGUUUGGGGUUGGUUGCGGAGUCCUCACGGCCGCUACAAUGUACUUUGUGUGGUCUCUGUUCUCUCCCCACCGCUUUGACUUUGAUGAUGAUUCCUCCUUUUCUUCUGAUGAUGACGAUGACAUCACAUCGGCCAAGAAGAUGGGGUAUCUGGCUAUUCCUACGAAGACCAAGGUGGUUGAUGAUGACCUCAAGAAACCUGCAUCCCCAGCCAAGGAAGCAGUCUAACGAUUUGAUGAAAUAUGUAAGCGUUUUAAGAACCCAAAGGAAGAAAAAGCAUCUAUUAUUACGAGAGUCUGUCUAUGUACUUAAAUAUUCAUGUUAAUGUGCUACUACAUACUGCUGUGAACUGUCAUAUGAUGAUCCCCUACUAUGGUUUUAAUUGUGUUAUUGAUCUGCUUUUAUAACUAAUUUCUUGGUGUGCAUUGAUGAGAUAUUAUUGAUUUAUAAUUUAUACUGUGUUGUGCACUGUCCUAUGUAAAUUCUUUUGAUUAAAAUGUUACCUUGUCAUUUUCCUUUGUCAUGAAAAGGAGUAAUGAGAAUGAGUUGUGGUUGCAAGGUACAGAAUCAUGUGCUGUUUGAAAUCCCCAUUUUGCAGGGAAAAGAUUGAAUUUUUACAAUUUUUAUAUUUACUUUUGUCUUCUUCAUUUUAAGUGGUUGCUAUGCUUAUGAAUCUUUUUUCUUUAAAUGAUGCCUUAUUUUUCAGGAUUGUAAAAUAAGAACUGACAAAAGAUCAAUUCAAAUUUGAAUAUUCUUUCUAAUUCCAACCCACUCUGUAUCAUACGAGUAUUAACAGGUCUUCUGAUACAAUUCCUACAACUAGGCCUUCUUGCUUGGAGAGUAUUAACUUUGAUGUUUAUUUUUUCUUAGGUACG
rnacentral:lncRNA from 1 species